rnacentral:rRNA from 1 species
ACACGUAGGGGGCAAGCGUUGUCCGGAAUUACUGGGCGUAAAGGGUGCGUAGGCGGCUUUUUAAGUCGGGUGUGAAAUAUCAUGGCUCAACCAUGGAAGUGCACUCGAAACUGGAAAGCUUGAGGUCAGGUAAGGGAGACGGAAUUGCCAGUGUAGGGGUGAAAUCCGUAGAUAUUGGCAAGAACGCCAGUGGUGAAGACGGUCUCCUGUACUGAUACUGACGCUGAGGCACGAAAGCUAGGGGAGCGAACGGGAUUAGAAACCCUAGUAGUCC